rnacentral:rRNA from 1 species
GCCGCGCGAACGCGUACCCUCUCUAUCACAAAUUAUGACGUUCACUCUCCCACUUGGGGAGAUGAUAGGCCAGGGCACCCACCAAGUGCACUGUGGGCCACCAACCUAGGCCACGGGCCUUGUUGA